rnacentral:rRNA from 1 species
UAAUCUACCCCGAAGACUGGAAUAACCCGAGGAAACUCGGGCUAAUACCGGAUGUGCUCCCUCUCCAUCAGGAGAGUGAGUAAAGGUAGCUUCGGCUAUCCGCUUUGGGAGGGGCCCGCGGUCCAUUAGCUUGUUGGUGAGGUAACGGCUUACCAAGGCUACGAUGGAUAGCUGGUCUGAGAGGACGAUCAGCCACACUGGAACUGAGACACGGUCCAGACUCCUACGGGAGGCAGCAGUGGGGAAUAUUGGACAAUGGGGGCAACCCUGAUCCAGCAAUGGCCGCGUGUGUGAAGAAGGCCUUCGGGUUGUAAAGCACUUUCAGUAGGGAGGAAAAGCUUGAUGCUAAUACCAUUGAGUCUUGACGUUACUUACAGAAGAAGCACCGGCUAACUCUGUGCCAGCAGCCGCGGUAAUACAGAGGGUGCGAGCGUUGUCCGGAAUCAUUGGGCGUAAAGCGCGUGUAGGCGGUUCCGUAAGUCUGCUGUGAAAGUCGGAGGCUCAACCUUCGAAAGCCGGUGGAUACUGUGGAACUAGAGUGCGGAAGAGGCAAGUGGAAUUCCUGGUGUAGCGGCGAAAUGCGCAGAUAUCAGGAGGAACACCAACGGCGAAGGCAGCUUGCUGGGACGUUACUGACGCUGAGACGCGAAAGCGUGGGGAGCAAACAGGAUUAGAUACCCUGGUAGUCCACGCCGUAAACGAUGGUCACUAGAUGUGGGGGGUAUCGACUCCCUCCGUGUCGUAGCUAACGCGUUAAGUGACCCGCCUGGGGAGUACGGCCGCAAGGCUAAAACUCAAAGGAAUUGACGGGGACCCGCACAAGCAGCGGAGCAUGUGGAUUAAUUCGACGCAACGCGAAGAACCUUACCUGGGCUUGACAUAUAACUGACAACCCAUGGAAACAUGGCCUUCCUUCGGGACAGUUAUACAGGUGGUGCAUGGCUGUCGUCAGCUCGUGUCGUGAGAUGUUGGGUUGAGUCCCGCAACGAGCGCAACCCCCGUCCUAUGUUGCCAGCAUUAAGUUGGGGACUCAUAGGAGACUGCCGGUGACAAACCGGAGGAAGGUGGGGAUGACGUCAAGUCAUCAUGCCCCUUAUGUCCAGGGCUUCACACGUGCUACAUUGGCGCAUACAAAGGGCUGCGAUACCGCAAGGUGGAGCCAAUCCCAAAAAGUGCGUCUCGGUUCGGAUUGGGGGCUGAAACUCGCCCCCAUGAAGGCGGAGUUGCUAGUAAUCCUGGAUCAGCAAUGCCAGGGUGAAUACGUUCCCGGGUCUUGUACACACCGCCCGUCACAC